rnacentral:tRNA from 1 species
AGGGAAAUAGCUCAGUGGUAGAGCACAUGCUUAGCAUGCACGAGGUCCUGGGUUCAGUCCCCAGUACCUCCA